rnacentral:rRNA from 1 species
UACGUAGGGGGCAAGCGUUGUCCGGAUUUAUUGGGCGUAAAGAGCGUGUAGGCGGCUAGGUAGGUCCGUUGUGAAAACUCGAGGCUCAACCUCGAGACGUCGAUGGAAACCAUCUAGCUAGAGUCCGGAAGAGGAGAGUGGAAUUCCUGGUGUAGCGGUGGAAUGCGCAGAUAUCAGGAGGAACACCGGUGGCGAAGGCGGGUCUCUGGGCCGAUACUGACGCUGAGGAGCGAAAGCGUGGGGAGCGAACAGG